GAUUAGAGUUUGAUCAUGGCUCAGAUUGAACGCUGGCGGCAGGCCUAACACAUGCAAGUCGAGCGGUAGCACAGAGAGCUUGCUCUCGGGUGACGAGCGGCGGACGGGUGAGUAAUGUCUGGGAAACUGCCUGAUGGAGGGGGAUAACUACUGGAAACGGUAGCUAAUACCGCAUAACGUCGCAAGACCAAAGUGGGGGACCUUCGGGCCUCAUGCCAUCAGAUGUGCCCAGAUGGGAUUAGCUAGUAGGUGGGGUAAUGGCUCACCUAGGCGACGAUCCCUAGCUGGUCUGAGAGGAUGACCAGCCACACUGGAACUGAGACACGGUCCAGACUCCUACGGGAGGCAGCAGUGGGGAAUAUUGCACAAUGGGCGCAAGCCUGAUGCAGCCAUGCCGCGUGUAUGAAGAAGGCCUUCGGGUUGUAAAGUACUUUCAGCGAGGAGGAAGGCGUUAAGGUUAAUAACCUUAGCGAUUGACGUUACUCGCAGAAGAAGCACCGGCUAACUCCGUGCCAGCAGCCGCGGUAAUACGGAGGGUGCAAGCGUUAAUCGGAAUUACUGGGCGUAAAGCGCACGCAGGCGGUCUGUCAAGUCGGAUGUGAAAUCCCCGGGCUCAACCUGGGAACUGCAUUCGAAACUGGCAGGCUAGAGUCUUGUAGAGGGGGGUAGAAUUCCAGGUGUAGCGGUGAAAUGCGUAGAGAUCUGGAGGAAUACCGGUGGCGAAGGCGGCCCCCUGGACAAAGACUGACGCUCAGGUGCGAAAGCGUGGGGAGCAAACAGGAUUAGAUACCCUGGUAGUCCACGCCGUAAACGAUGUCGACUUGGAGGUUGUGCCCUUGAGGCGUGGCUUCCGGAGCUAACGCGUUAAGUCGACCGCCUGGGGAGUACGGCCGCAAGGUUAAAACUCAAAUGAAUUGACGGGGGCCCGCACAAGCGGUGGAGCAUGUGGUUUAAUUCGAUGCAACGCGAAGAACCUUACCUGGUCUUGACAUCCACAGAACUUUCCAGAGAUGGAUUGGUGCCUUCGGGAACUGUGAGACAGGUGCUGCAUGGCUGUCGUCAGCUCGUGUUGUGAAAUGUUGGGUUAAGUCCCGCAACGAGCGCAACCCUUAUCCUUUGUUGCCAGCGGUCCGGCCGGGAACUCAAAGGAGACUGCCAGUGAUAAACUGGAGGAAGGUGGGGAUGACGUCAAGUCAUCAUGGCCCUUACGACCAGGGCUACACACGUGCUACAAUGGCAUAUACAAAGAGAAGCGACCUCGCGAGAGCAAGCGGACCUCAUAAAGUAUGUCGUAGUCCGGAUUGGAGUCUGCAACUCGACUCCAUGAAGUCGGAAUCGCUAGUAAUCGUAGAUCAGAAUGCUACGGUGAAUACGUUCCCGGGCCUUGUACACACCGCCCGUCACACCAUGGGAGUGGGUUGCAAAAGAAGUAGGUAGCUUAACCUUCGGGAGGGCGCUUACCACUUUGUGAUUCAUGACUGGGGUGAAGUCGUAACAAGGUAACC
rnacentral:rRNA from 1 species